AAAACUUGACCAAAACCAAUCAAGCUCUUAAUGAUCUGUAGUCGGGAAAGCUUGUUCAGAGAGCUCUGCAGACCCUCAUACAGCAUGUUGUAAAUAAGCUAUCUGAACUCUGGAUUGAGUAUGAAAAUGUUUGAGAACUGCACAAGGGUACUUGUGGUGAAAAUGCAAAAAUACAUGCACUGCUUUCAUAAAUGAGAAUGUGGAGCUGACCGCUUUGCUCAUUGCUUAUGCAGUUUACAACAACAUAAGCUUCAGAUCAGCUGUGUGGCAAGUCUUCAGCAAUGAGGUUUGUGGUGUGGUGUUGACUUUUAUGCAAUGGGCAGAUUUAGAACAAGCUGGAUUCAGGAAAUACCUUUUUUUUUUUUUUAUGGUUAUCAGAUUUACUACUGCAUCCUUUAGAAGGAAAGCUCUCUAAGGUGUUUUUGUCUGAAUAGACUUAAGUCCUUAGUUCUGAAUGACUGUGCUAACUGAAACACCACGAUCAAACUCUUGAGGAAAUAAUGAACUUCUGCCAGCUUAGCUUUUUUUAAUUAUUAUUAUUGUCAUCAACUAAGUAUCUUUCGGUGGGUUGAAACUUGACCUUUUGAAGCUUUAUCUGCUCCUUGUGGGUUUAAGGGGAAAGGCAGUUGUAUGAUGUAUCCAGAACAGCAAGCCUUCUUAAUGAACUCUGAAGCAGCUGCAACCAAGUGAUCGUGCAGUUUUUGCCCCUUUGGAGAAAGCAAGGGGAUGGUCUCGAGGUAUCUGUGCAGGCUACUAACCUAUAAAUAUGUAGAAGCUAAUAGUUGAACAGAUUGCAAGACAGUGUUACUGUUUUUAUUGUUUAUGCAACGAAAGAAAGUAUUAAAAUGAUAUCAGUAAUAAACUAAGUCUAUACAAGUUAUUUUUCCUCAUUUAAAUAUAAAAUAUCCAAUAAUGAACUGAAACAUGAGGUCGUUAGAAACUUUGCUUUCUGCUUCCAUAUCAUGAGCCUUUUUACCCCCAGUAUGAGGGCAGCUCAGAGUUGCCAUAACUGAUUGAUCUCUAAUGCGCUUGUGUACCCAGGGUCUCUUACUGUUUUUUCUAUAUAAUCUGCCCCUGCAUAGAGGAGACAAACCAGAUUCUUUGGUAUAUUCUUGAUGUGACUAUACCAGUGUGAGUGGAUUGGCUGGCUUGUCUGCAGAAUAUUUGGAAUAUUCAUUCUUGAGUUGCUUUUUGUCACACGGAUUGUAUGGGUUGCCUUAUAUCUAGCUGUUAUAACUGAAUUAUGAAGUACGUCCUGUUAAUUUUGUCUGGAAAGGCACUGGUAUGCUAAGAAUCAUGCUUUCUGUGAGAUGCCAAGAGGCUUGGGUAUCUUUUAGCACUUUUCCAAACGCCGAAGUCCAAAACUAAGAUGAAUUAAUAUAGAAAUACAGGUUUACUGUAGGAUUUUCCAUCUGUGUUUCUAUAUGAGGUGUUUCCAUUCUUCCUCUGAAAUGCUUUAUAUCACACUGUUUCUUAGGAAACUGAACAAAUGUUUUGGAGGUGCAUGCUUUCCUCCCCUUCACUUGUUUCUGGGGGAAGACAGACCAGGGUUAAACUCGCUCUUAACAUUGCUACUCUAUGGCUGUCUGUCAAGUAAAGAAGACUCCAUGAGCCUCACACAUCUAUCCUGAUCUUUCUUUUCUGAAGCCUCUUUUCUGUAUGGUUUUAGCUACUCUUAAGAUCUAUAUGCAUGUAUCUGUCAGAACUCUUACAAAUGUUCACAAACUGAAGUGCAUCCUCUGUGUUGCUGAUCAGGAGUGGGUGCUGCUUGCCCAUGUUCCUUGAUGUAGCUGCUGCUAAGCCACAGCUCUUUUUCUGUUCUAGUCACUGUCCUUUGCCUGUUCUCUGUUCUCAUUGCAUUUCUUCUUCUUUCUCUCUUAGUUUGUGGCUCCUUCUCCAGGUUUCCUCUGCAGCAGCAUGUCUGUGUUGGAGUUUGGCUCCUUGAGAUGGGUGAUAAGAGCUCCUGAAGCACGACCAAACUGCUUGCCUGAGCCUUCUGAUCUGUAAGAGUGAGCUGGCCUUGCAGUGGCUGUUAAGGAAGACUGAGGCAGCAGACGUGGAAGUGGAAAAAACCUUCCCAGCAGGUCUCCCAUUAAGUCACCAAGUUCAGCAGCAUGAACUCCCUGUUUGACAAAGGGCUGCUCACCUGGGAUAGUCUGUGGUUCUGCGUGCCUAAGAGAAGCUCAGUUUAGGUGCUGAAAAAUGAGGCGGAGGAGUAUGCUGGCUAGAGUCAGGGUAAAUGGUGAGUGUUCUGCUUCGUUUGUUGUGGUACUUGACGUCAGUGAAGAGGCUUCUCUGCAAUAAAAGGGCGUGUGGUUUUGGUUUCUGUAAAAGGAAAUGAGGCAGUUGUUUAGAAACGAGAACUUUGUUUUCUUCCUUAUAUAAAGUAUGUUGCAGGCUUAGGACUUCAUCAGUCCAGAGCAUCUGACUUUUAGCAAUGGCUCCUUUUCAAAUAAAUAAUGUCAAAACUCACCAAAGCUUACAGCUAGGAUCUAGAGAAGGCUUUAUCAGCAGCUCAAUGCACACAAGACUGACUGAAGCCACAGUAACACUUGAUUUGAAAAUUGUCUGCUUCUGAAUGUGAUAGGCUGCUGGAAGAGUGGAAUAUAAACUAAGGGAAUGCAGCAUCCAGCAGCAGUAAAAACAACAACAACAACAAAAAC